CUCAAAAAGUGUGUGAUUUAACAGAGGAAAGCUGUUCAGCUCUCGCUUCAGUUCUCAGCUCAGACUCCAGUCUGAAGGAUCUUGACCUGAGCAAUAAUAAUCUACAGGAUUCAGGAGUGAAGCUGCUUUCUGAUGGACUGAAAGCGAGCUGUAAACUGGAGAUACUCAAACUUUCAUUUUGCAGGUAUCACUGAAGAAGGUUAUAAAGCUCUGGCUUCAGCUCUGAGAUCAAACCCUUCACACCUGAAAGAGCUGGAUCUCAUAGGAAAUGAUCCUGGACAAUCAGGAGUGAAAAGAGCUCAAUGAUUUACUACAAUAUCCAAACUGCCAACUAAAACUGAGGUUGUUGGAUCAUGCUGCAGAUGAAAGCCUGUCAAUAUGUGACUGGGGUUGUGGGUAAAAACCUGUUACUCCUGAGAGUGAACUUGAA